rnacentral:lncRNA from 1 species
GGCACAGCUCUGCUGCCUGGUGUAGGGGGGCAGGGAAGAGCCCGCAGCAAAGCCCGGGACUGCAAAGGACGGACGGAUGGACGUUGGCGUGCGGCUGGGGCGCUCCUGCCUCAUCCUCCCGACGUGUCACCACUAGAAUUUGCUAUAAACAAUCAAAGCGACCCCUCCCUUCGUCUCUCCUGCCCUCCCUCCUCACAGCAGGUGGCCUCCCGGGUGUGGCCUCUGUGGUUCCUCACCUGCAGCAUUGGAAGAAUUCCCUGCAGCUCCAUCCUUGAGACUUCCUGGGACCUGUCUGCAUUUCCUGCUUUCUGCAGCUCGAUGGAGCUGGAUGCUCAAGAGCAGAGGAUCUAUCAACUGCAGACCAAGCAGAGGGAGAGGCAGGCAGAACUGGAGCAGAAAUGCAGCCGGAUCCAGCAGCUCAGCCAGGACCUGAGGCCAGCCAUCUGCUGCAGGAGGAAGCUCUGAAGCAGACUCUUGACCAUGCUACUCGUAAUUUAUGCCUGUUGAUGGUCCUCCCCAGCCAAACAGAGUGUGCUGCAGACGGUGCUCAGUGGGUUGAGACUAGAGCCACCAGCGUCCUGCCAACACCCCGAACUGGGAAUCACCACUGGGACCGCAAGGAAUAACCUUUAAGGCUCAUUAAAAUUCCACUAACGCAAA